CUAGCCUAAUGUUAGCUUUUCACUUCUGGCGACUGCAUUUACACUUCAAAAAUCAUGAAAGUGGUGUUCGUUUGUGAAGAUUUUCUUGCUGACCAAAAUGUCUGCAGCUCUGUGACAUUUAAAUCUUCAGUGACUGAAACACGUGGACAUCUGACGAGCGCCUCGUCCUCUCUGAACUCUCUCAGUGUAUUCACAGAUAAUGUGACGAACGGGAAUGAAUUAAAAAGAUGGAGCGAAGGCCUCGGGGAGUUUCCCAGCAUGCCGAGCUGUAUUUCCCCGAAGAAUGACUAAUGAGCAUCAAUUAGAGCUUUGCAUAUCAUUAAAGAGGAGAGCUGAUAAAAACCAGAGAGGAGGAAAGACUACUGAGGAGUUUCAACAUCACCAUCCUCCUGCAGCUCACAGAUCCAGACUGCGAUAACGUCUGCAGAACAGGAGAUACCAUCACACCAUCCGCUUCUUCCUCCCACUGCUUCCUGCUGUCUGAGCUAAGCUGACAGUCAACAACUUUUACACUGCAUUAGAGUCUGCUUCUGUAGACCUGUUACUGUAUUGUGGGCGUGUCUGGCUGUGUGUGUGGAUCUUCUCCCCUGCAGACUAUCCUUCUCCCGCGCUCUGAUGCAAUCAACCAACCUGAUCAAACCCGCACGGCUCCUUCCAAUUAGAUCAUCUACUCCAGUACAAAUACCCCGGUUUCUCCAGUCACUCAUCGCCAGAUCGUUGACUCAACCCAGGAUCUUCGCCUGCCUGUUGCCUGCCUGCCUGCCUGCCUGCCCUGCUCAACUCCAGCCUCGACAUUCCCUCAGUCCAUUCACAAUUCCUGCUGUUGGCAAUAAAGCCUUUUUGUUCCCCUUCUACUCCACUGUCUGUGUCUGCAUUUUGGGUCCAAAACCUUACUGAUCGUAACAGAACGAUCUGGCCAACAUGGACCCAGCAGACUCAGACUCUUUCCGCCAAGCCCUUGCUGCCCAAGGAACCCUCAUGGGACACCAUGAACAAGCUCUACGCGACGUAAUGGAAACCCUCAAAACACUCUCCACAAACGUGGCCAUCAUGGGGCCAUUCCCUCAGUCCAUUCAUAAUUCCUGCUUUUGGCAAUAAAGCCCUUUUGUUCCACUUCUA